rnacentral:lncRNA from 1 species
AGCUUGAUUUUCUUAUAACCAUAAAAUAUUAUUAUACAUAUGUAUUACAUUUAAAAAUAUAAAAAACAAUGAAGACAUAAAAAAUACAUAAAAACAAAAAAUAAAUAAAAUUGAAAACAAAAGUUUAAACUAAAUAAUUAAUCAAACUCUUACAAUGAUAUUUUAAAUGAGUUUUCACCCCAUGCAAGAACUUAAAAAAAAA